UAACUGGGGCCGAGGUGGUGGGCGUGGUGGUGGCUGGGGUUAUCGAGGUUCUGGUUAUGGAAGAGGGAGAGGCGGAGGUGGCAGAGGCUAUGGCUAUGGCCGUGGACGUGGAAGGAUGGGUGGCCGCUCAAGGGGUGGCGGGGGUGGCAACCUGGCAUAGUUGGGAGGCGGCAUUCUAUAACAAAAUGCUUGCAUUGGCUUUGGCAAUUUCCGUAUGAAAAGUUUGUUUACAUUUCAAGAAAUUGUGCCCUGUUUACAAAAGUUGUUAAGCAGCUAUUGCUUUCUUUCUUUUCAACAUAUAUGAUGAUAUGAUAUGUGAACAAGCUAUGUUUAAAAUGUUUGCUUUUAUUGAAGCCAAUAGCAAGCAAUUAUGAUUUCUGUGUAA